rnacentral:lncRNA from 12 species
AUGUCAGGGGACGCAUACCUGAGGUUGCUCUCUAUAGUAGCCUAUUCAUGUGUUCUCAACACUGAGGCUUAUUCAGGAGGUUUUCCACUCACUCUUCCUGACUGGAGGUCAAAUGCAGAUUAUUUUGCAAAGUGUGAUAUUGGCAGUGAUUUGCCGGCAUCCUGCGAUUGGACCUCUGAGGGACCCAUCAGCGCUCAGACGGCAACAGGUAAUUAUACUGCUGAGACGAAAUUGCUGCAGAGACAGUAACUGCUUUGUGUUUACAACCAAUCCGUUCACCUGCGGCAACAACAACAGCAGUUAACAGGUUGCUAACAACACGCAGAGCUCAAGUCAGUUCAAUUUUCUCAGAUCUGUGGCAAUUAUGUAUGAAAUUUCACAUCGUCAUUGUCUAUAAAACAGUGCCACUCUGAGGAAUAAAGGUGAAUUGCAUUUAUUAAGUCAUCAGAUAUUUAAUUAUUGUUGCGCAGACAAAAAAAAAUAUAUAUACUUACACUAUUACAUAGGCCUCCCUCCGGUCGCUAGCAACCCUAUACACUACAAUAAAUAUAUAAUAAUAUUAUUUUACAAAAUAAUAAAAAAAUAAUAUAUAUAUAUAUAUAUAUAUAUUUAACAUUAAAUAUAUAUAUAUAUAUAUAUAUAUAUAUAUAUAUAUAUAUAUAUAUAUAUAUAUAUAUAUAUAUAUAUAUAUAUAUAUAUAUAUAUAUAUAUAUAUAUAUAUAUAU